rnacentral:rRNA from 1 species
GUCUACGGCCAUACCACCCUGAACGCGCCCGAUCUUGUCUGAUCUCGGAAGCUAAGCAGGGUCGGGCCUGGUUAGUACUUGGAUGGGAGGAAAUGGCAUAUGUUGGCAUAUGUAGACA